rnacentral:rRNA from 1 species
GACGAGGGAUCCUAGCGUUGUUCGGAAUCACUGGGCGUAAAGCGUUUGUAGGCGGCUCUAUAAGUCGGGUGUGAAAUCCCACGGCUCAACCGUAGAAGUGCAUUCGAAACUGCAGAGCUUGAAUAUGGUAGAGGAGAGUAGAAUUCCUGGUGUAGUGGUGAAAUACGUAGAUAUCAGGAGGAAUACCGGUGGCGAAGGCGGCUCACUGGUCCGGUACUGACGCUGAGGUGCGAAAGCGUGGGGAGCAAACAGG